GACGAACGCUGGCGGCGUGCUUAACACAUGCAAGUCGAACGGAAAGGCCCUGCUUUUGUGGGGUGCUCGAGUGGCGAACGGGUGAGUAACACGUGAGUAACCUGCCCUUGACUUUGGGAUAACUUCAGGAAACUGGGGCUAAUACCGGAUAGGAGCUCCUGCUGCAUGGUGGGGGUUGGAAAGUUUCGGCGGUUGGGGAUGGACUCGCGGAUUAUCAGCUUGUUGGUGGGGUAGUGGCUUACCAAGGCUUUGACGGGUAGCCGGCCUGAGAGGGUGACCGGCCAAAUUGGGACUGAGAUACGGCCCAAACUCCUACGGGAGGCAGCAGUGGGGAAUAUUGCACAAUGGGCGGAAGCCUGAUGCAGCAACGCCGCGUGCGGGAUGACGGCCUUCGGGUUGUAAACCGCUUUCGCCUGUGACGAAGCGUGAGUGACGGUAAUGGGUAAAGAAGCACCGGCUAACUACGUG
rnacentral:rRNA from 1 species